rnacentral:rRNA from 1 species
GUUGAACGCUGGCGGCAGGCCUAACACAUGCAAGUCGAGCGGAUGAAGGGAGCUUGCUCCUGGAUUCAGCGGCGGACGGGUGAGUAAUGCCUAGGAAUCUGCCUGGUAGUGGGGGAUAACGUCCGGAAACGGGCGCUAAUACCGCAUACGUCCUGAGGGAGAAAGUGGGGGAUCUUCGGACCUCACGCUAUCAGAUGAGCCUAGGUCGGAUUAGCUAGUUGGUGGGGUAAAGGCCUACCAAGGCGACGAUCCGUAACUGGUCUGAGAGGAUGAUCAGUCACACUGGAACUGAGACACGGUCCAGACUCCUACGGGAGGCAGCAGUGGGGAAUAUUGGACAAUGGGCGAAAGCCUGAUCCAGCCAUGCCGCGUGUGUGAAGAAGGUCUUCGGAUUGUAAAGCACUUUAAGUUGGGAGGAAGGGCAGUAAGUUAAUACCUUGCUGUUUUGGCGUUACCAACAGAAUAAGCACCGGCUAACUUCGUG